CACACCAUGCACCACAAGUAGCAUGGUGAAAUGUAAGUUUACCACUAUGAUUUGUUUUCAUUAUAUGACUUAAUAAAUUACUAUCUCUGUCACUUAAAGGCUUCUUCAACAUGCUUAAUGUUUUUAUGCAGGCUGACUUUAUUGAACUGCAUAUACUGUGUAGGCUACUGUGUGCUUAGUUGUAUUACUGUGACAUGUUUUUUCCUGCAUUUUUGUUUUUUCUUUGAUAAUAUUGAGAAUUUUAUGGGUUGUAAUUUCCUAUAGAUACUGAUAGAGGGAUUGUAUUAUUGAACCCUACAGAAAGGACACAGUCUGUCACAUCUAAGUGUUUUGUUGUCAGGUACCUUUAGUUGCUUUUAGAUAUUUUUUUUCUUUUUGCCAGAUAAUGUAUACUUGCAUAUUUCCUCUAUAGGUUGAAGAUGACGAUGAAGAGACCACAUCUGCUGUGACAGAAGUGGACAAUGCUGGUAGAUCCACUGAGGUAUGAUGCAUACCAUUAUAAUGCAUGCCCCCUUUUUACAUUAGAGUAACAAACUGUCAUUGUCCUUUCACAGUACAUACCUGGGGAUUUGCCCACAGAUGACGGUCCUUCAACCUCAAUGCACGAUCUAAGCAGUUUGCCAGCAAAGGAGCUGUAUAAGGUCCAUCUUCAAAAACAAAUAAGAAAAAGUGACAUGGCGAUGGACCUUAUACAGCUUCAAAUGGAGGCUAUCCAUAAAAAAAGCAACAUUAGAAAUAGAAUUACUGGAGCAUCGCCUUAAGGAAAUAAAGAAAUGAACCACACCGCAGACCAGUGCACACAAUUUAAUAAAAGUAAUUCUGAGAAAUCCUG